rnacentral:rRNA from 1 species
UUAAAACGCCCGUAGUAUACCAAAGGGUUAUGAUUGUUGAUCUGGCUAGUCCUGUCCAUCGUGGUCGGUCACGUAUUGUGAUCGAUUGGUUGGGCAAGGACUGGUCCCUCGGUCUCUAAAUAGGCGAACGGGAUUCCAAGUAGCUCUAUCAAAGGGAUAGGUCAACAGUUGUGACUCGCUCCCUGCCAGUCUUCGGAUUGGUAGGGCCUAUUGGCACAACCGUAAACAAAUCAGAGUGCUCCAAGCAGGCAAUGUUUGGGGGUAACCCCGUUUGCUUGAAUGAUUUAGCAUGGAAUUGUCACGAAGCCGAACCGAAACCUUGAGGGUUCGCCUGAGAGGUGGAAGUCCCGGCGCUCGUAAUGAGACACAGGUAGAGGAUCCAAGUACUAUGGCGCGAGAGGUGAAAUUCAGUGACCGCCAUAUGACUAUCUAAUGCGAAAGCAGUUGUGAUCCAGAACGUGUCUGUCAAUCAGGGACGAAAGUUAAGGGAUCGAAGAUGAUUAGAUACCGUCGUAGUCUUAACCGUAAACGAUACCAACACGAGAUUGGUAGCGAAACCAUUAUUAGAUCCUGUCAGAAUCCAAGGGAAACCGUUAAGUCUUUGGGUUCUGGGGGGAGUAUGGUCGCAAGGCUGAAACUUAAAGGAAUUGACGGAAAGGCACCACC